rnacentral:rRNA from 1 species
CACGUAGGGUGCGAGCGUUGUCCGGAAUUAUUGGGCGUAAAGAGCUCGUAGGCGGUGUGUCGCGUCGGCCGUGAAAACCUGCAGCUUAACUGUGGGCUUGCGGUCGAUACGGGGCAUCACUGGAGUUCGGCAGGGGAGACUGGAAUUCCUGGUGUAGCGGUGAAAUGCGUAGAUAUCUGGAGGAACACCGGUGGCGAAGGCGGCAUCCUGGACCGGCAUUGACGCUGAGGGCGCGAAAAAGCCCAGGGGGGAGCAAAACGGGG